rnacentral:rRNA from 1 species
GUUGAACGCUGGCGGCAUGCUUUACACAUGCAAGUCGAACGGCAGCGCGGGCUUCGGCCUGGCGGCGCGUGGCGAACGGGUGAGUAAUACACCGGAACGUGCCCAGUAGUGGGGGAUAGCUCGGCGACAGCCGGAUUAAUACCGCAUACGACCUGAGGGUGAAAGCGGGGGUUCUUCGGACCUCGCGCUAUUGGCGCGGCCGAUGGCAGAUUAGCUAGUUGGUGGGGUAAAGGCCUACCAAGGCGACGAUCUGUAGCUGGUCUGAGAGGACGACCAGCCACACUGGGACUGAGACACGGCCCAGACUCCUACGGGAGGCAGCAGUGGGGAAUUUUGGACAAUGGGCGAAAGCCUGAUCCAGCAAUGCCGCGUGUGUGAUGAAGGCCUUCGGGUUGUAAAGCACUUUUGGCGGGAACGAAAAGGACUGUGCCAAUACCACGGUUCGAUGACGGUACCCGCAGAAUAAGCACCGGCUAACUACGUG